UGGUGUACAGGGAGUCAGUUACUGAGAGAAAUUAGCACUGAACAGGCUGUCGGCGCUAUUUUUCCGGUACAUUCGGCGCAAAACCCACACCUUGCUCCCAUUUCUGGGUCCGCGGUAACGAAGAUCUGUCGGUAUGUCCCAUUCCCUGGGGAUUAUGGUUCCGCGUGCUGGCAGUUUUGGAUCGCGCGUGAAUCGGAGGCUGCGGAGUGCAUUUGUCGCUGUGACUCAUUGUGGUGAUCACGGCCUUGCAAAGUUUGCGGUGGUUUGAGGUGGUGUGUUGGUGGGUGGUAGCGCCUGAUGGCCUCCAAGCGUAUUUUGAAGGAAUUGAAAACUCUGCGGAGUGAUCAACCAUGGCCAUGCAGCGCUGGAAAAACUGGUUAAAUUUCGAGAGCAUUGUAAAAAUGUGGACUCAGAAGUACGCAAUGGAGUAACUCGGGUGACGAAUCGUUGUGAGACCUGUUUCGUUGCUACUAUGAAAGUUUUAUUCUGUUGAACUAUACCAUAUUAUUUGUACCGCAAGCGGGACUUGUCCAGCAUAUAAACAAUUCUACGGAACAGCUUUUACCAAUGUCACCGUAUGUUCAUGUUUGAACCUCGAAUGAAGUCCCUACUCCGUAACGUAUUCUCAUAGCUUCUAAAGCCUUGCUUUCCGGUCUCAGGCUGUUCAUACCGAAGUAUCAGCUUCUUCGGGAUAAUUGUUGGGUUUUGAACACUCAUCGAGGAGAACUUGUUCGGGUGCAGCUGGCAGUGUGGUCGUAAUGUAUUGUAGCCAAGCAUUUACAGGGAUUGAAGUACCGAGAACAUGACCGUCAAUGGUGGGCCUGCAGGAAUAAUCCUUGGAUUUUGAAAUGUCAUCAGUGCAUCCCUCGAGCCCCACAUUUGCGUAUGAAGGUGCAAUGUUUCAAUUCCAGGUACUUAGGAGAGACAUUUUGCCUUUAGCAAAUGUGUAGAAGCGAAGUUUGUAUCCGUAAUAUUUUGUGUAAGUACUCCAACCUACGUCAUCCAUCCGUUGUAGUCUAGAUGGUUAGGAUACUCGGCUCUCACCCGAGCGACCCGGGUUCGAGUCCCGGCAACGGAAGCUCCCGAGUAAUAAAGACUAUUUUUUCUCCUUCGCAUUUCUCUCCAUCGUCUCGUCCCGUGCUUUGAACGAUACGGUCUAGUAUACCCCCCAGUUUUCUUUU